rnacentral:rRNA from 1 species
UACGUAGGGACCAAGCGUUGUUCGGAAUUACUGGGCGUAAAGGGCUCGUAGGCGGCCAACUAAGUCGGAUGUGAAAUCCCCAGGCUCAACUUGGGAACUGCAUCCGAUACUGGAUGGCUUGAAUUCGGGAGAGGGAUGCAGAAUUCCAGGUGUAGCGGUGAAAUGCGUAGAUAUCUGGAGGAAUACCGGUGGCGAAGGCGGCAUCCUGGACCGACAUUGACGCUGAUGAGCGAAAGCUAGGGGAGCAAACGGG